AGGAAUAGCUCGCGCGAACAAGGGCGGAAACGUCGCGCGGUGACAGCCGGGAGCUCGAGCGAUACAGGAAGAAAGCCCAAGCCUGCCCUGACUCGGAUCACUUCCACACCGAUUGACUGCGAUUAAGGAUCAAAAUCACUGCUUGAUUAAUCUAGCAGGUAUGGCAGAGCUGGCGAGUCUGGUGCAGCGGUUGGAGGUCGCAGUGGGUCGCCUGGAGGCGGCGUCGGGGAGCGCCGGGGGUCCGUCGCCCCCCGCUGGAGGAGGAGCCAUGUCGGCGUACGUGGGGGCCUACGAUGACAUCCUCGGCGGGCCCGUGGCCCAGUACAUGGCCCUCAGCAAGGAGAUCGGGGGGGACGUCCUGAAACACGCGGACAUGAUGAAGCAGGCGUUCUCCUGCCAGCGACAGCUCCUGGCCACCGCCUCCGGAUCACAGAAGCCCGCCGAUGUAAGUCGUCUACAUUUGACGUCCCAUAAUAGCCUCGAGACAGGAGUUAAGCUCGGAU